GCCAGCAGUUAUGGACCAUAGGGUGGCCAUGUAUUUGGUUAAACAUUUCUGGGUGUGUCUGGGGGGCAUUUCUGGAUGGGAUCACCAUUGGAAUUGGUGGACUCAGUGACACAGACUGCCCUCCCCAGUGUGAGUGGGCCUCAUUUAUCCAUUAAAGGCCUAAAUAGAAUAAGAGGCUGAGUAAGAAAGAAUUCUCUCUUUCUGCCUUUCUUUGAGCUGGGACAUCAGUAUUCUCCUGCCUUUGGACUUGGACUGGAACUUGCACCAUUGACUGUCCUGAUUUUUGGAUUUGUGGAGGAACUUACACCAUUGGCUCUCCUGGUUCUCAGGGCUUCAGACUUAUACUGGAACUUAUACCAUCCAGCUAUCCUAGGUCCGGACUUCUGAGCCUCCACAAUUGUGUGAACCAAUUCUUUAUAAUAAAUGUAUGUAUGUUUUUAUAUGUCUCUAUCUCUGUCUUUCUAUAUCUUCUAUUGAUUCUGUUUCUCUGGAGAACCCUGGUUAAUACAGAUUUUGUCAGGAGUGGGGUUGUAAAGGAAUAAAAUUUUAAGGAUAAGUUUUCUGCAUUUGUUCUGGAAUUUCUGGAAUUGGCUCUCUGAUAUGAUUAAAUUUAAAGACUGUUAGUGACUGUAUUUCCAGUAGUAAAGAGAGCAUUGAUAGUGUGUGUGUGUGCCAGAUCUGGUGUGAUCUGGCAAUAACAAUAUGAAAAAUAUCUUCAUUGGGUUCUGCUAAUCAAUCAGUUGUAAGAAACAAGUUCUGGGUGACCAUGCAUGUAAUACUUCCAAACAUUUUUGUAAAUCUAACAAAUAUAGUGGGGUUGGCUGGUUGUUCCUAAUGUCACUGGACAAAGUGGUGAAAGUAAAAGAUGAACUCAAGGAUUUGAAUUCCCAGCUCAACAGUGUUGCAUACAUGACCUGAAAGCUGCUAGGUAUUCCCUGAAGCCACAAGGCUGAGAUUGCUGAAAAUCAAACAUAGAAUCUCAUCUUUCCAUUGGCUGAAUGUAAGUUGAACUCCCAGCCUUGCUGAGGUUGACUGUUAAAGUGAGGGCAUUGACUGGGAAAAAAAUGAGAUCCUAUAAGUUAGAAUGGGGACAUGUGGGAAGAUUCUGAUGAAGCUGGAGACAUUGAGCCCCUAAAUUCUAAUGGGUCUUCUUUGCCAGUGGAGAGGUCUUUCCAUUUUCAGUGAAAGGUGCAUCCCACUCUCUCAGGAGUUAACUCUGCAUUUCCUGAGGAAACUGUAAUGGCAAUUGUCCUGGAAGGAAGACAAUACUGAUUCUUCUCAUGACCCACCCCCUUUGCUUCUAGGCCUAUACCUAGGCUCAAGUCCCAUCAGGUCCCUCAAGGUGAGGUACAGGGUAUGACCCAUGAGGAGAUGUGCUAAACUCUUAAAGAG
rnacentral:lncRNA from 1 species